UUACGGCCAUAUCACGUUGAAAAACCAGUUCCCGUACGAUCACCGAAGUUAAAUCACGUCGAACCUGGUCAGUAUCUCAAUGGGUGACAGCUUGAGAAUACCAGGUGCUGUAAG